rnacentral:rRNA from 1 species
AGCAGCCGCGGUAAUUCCAGCUCCAAUAGCGUAUAUUAAAGUUGUUGCAGUUAAAAAGCUCGUAGUUGAAUUUCGGGAUCAGUUGAUCGGUCGUGCCUCGGUACGUACUGGUCAAAUUGAUUCCUACCUUCUGACGAACCACGAUGUCAUUAAUUUGGUGUCGUGGGAAAUCAGGACUGUUACUUUGAAAAAAUUAGAGUGUUUAAAGCAGGCUCGCGCUUGAAUACAUUAGCAUGGAAUAAUGAAAUAGGACGUUUGAUUCUAUUUUGUUGGUUUUCUAGGAUCGACGUAAUGAUUAAUAGGGAUAGUUGGGGGCAUUAGUAUUCAAUUGUCAGAGGUGAAAUUCUUGGAUUUAUUGAAGACUAACUACUGCGAAAGCAUUUGCCAAGGAUGUUUUCAUUAAUCAAGAACGAAAGUUAGGGGAUCGAAGACGAUCAGAUACCGUCGUAG